GAUGAACGCUGGCGGCGUGCCUAAUACAUGCAAGUCGAGCGAACAGACGAGGAGCUUGCUCCUCUGACGUUAGCGGCGGACGGGUGAGUAACACGUGGAUAACCUACCUAUAAGACUGGGAUAACUUCGGGAAACCGGAGCUAAUACCGGAUAAUAUAUUGAACCGCAUGGUUCAAUAUUGAAAGACGGUUUUGCUGUCACUUAUAGAUGGAUCCGCGCCGCAUUAGCUAGUUGGUAAGGUAACGGCUUACCAAGGCGACGAUGCGUAGCCGACCUGAGAGGGUGAUCGGCCACACUGGAACUGAGACACGGUCCAGACUCCUACGGGAGGCAGCAGUAGGGAAUCUUCCGCAAUGGGCGAAAGCCUGACGGAGCAACGCCGCGUGAGUGAUGAAGGUCUUCGGAUCGUAAAACUCUGUUAUUAGGGAAGAACAAAUGUGUAAGUAACUAUGCACGUCUUGACGGUACCUAAUCAGAAAGCCACGGCUAACUACGUG
rnacentral:rRNA from 1 species